rnacentral:rRNA from 1 species
UACGUAGGGGGCAAGCGUUGUCCGGAAUCAUUGGGCGUAAAGAGCGCGUAGGCGGCCCUGUAAGUCCGCUGUGAAAGUCCAGGGCUCAACCCUGGAAGGCCGGUGGAAACUGUCGGGCUAGAGUCCGGAAGAGGCGAGUGGAAUUCCUGGUGUAGCGGUGGAAUGCGCAGAUAUCAGGAGGAACACCAAUAGCGAAGGCAGCUCGCUGGGACGUUACUGACACUGAGGCGCGAAAGCGUGGGGAGCGAACAGG